rnacentral:lncRNA from 1 species
UGUGAUCCACCUGCCUCGGCUUCCCAAAGUGCUGGGAUUACAGGCGUGAGCCACCGCACCCGGCCUGCCUCCUCUUCAUCACUCAGUCCCAGGGGGACUCAUCUCCGCUUCUCAGCAUUGUGCUGUUUCCAGGUCACGUUUGCUCCCUGAGCCACCUGUUCUCCACCUGCCUUUAUCCCAUGCUCCCUGCCCAGGGCUUCCAGGAGCCACCCCGCGGCCCUUAUCACCUGGGCCACCUCUGCAUUUGUCAUGGGUUGUUU